CGGGUAGAGUAACACGUGAGUAACCUGCCCUUCACUCUGGGAUAACUCCGGGAAACCGGGGCUAAUACUGGAUAUGACCCGAACAGGCAUCUGUAUUGGGUGGAAAGAUUUAUUGGUGGGGGAUGGACUCGCGGCCUAUCAGCUUGUUGGUGAGGUAAUGGCCUACCAAGGCGAUGAUGGGUAGCUGGUCUGAGAGGGCGCACGGACACACUGGAACUGAAACACGGUCCAG
rnacentral:rRNA from 1 species